CCUCUUCUUUGUUCUUCUCAAAUUUGUUUGUUCUUCUCUAUCAUGGGUUCUUUUUGAUUGUUUUCUUUUCUUUUUGUUGGUUGGCAGGUGUUGCAGUGGCUUCCUUUUCUGACGGAGAUGGCUUCGUAUCUAAUGCAUGGUGAGGGUUUGUAGUUCGUCUGUUGGUUGUUCCCUUAUUGGCACUGUGGUUACUGUGGUUCAUGGUGCCGAUGGUGACACAUAGAGAGAGAGGGGGGGGGGGGAAGGGGAGAAAAUAAAGGUCAUGGAAGCAUCACUGGAUAGGGUUUCUACUCCUCUUCGUUCCUCUCCAAUCAAAUUGGCAAGACAACACCAACGAAAGAUUCUUCAAGCUUCUUUGAAGUAAGUCGUAGCCCUAAAGUUUCUACAUUUCUUUUGUCUCUCUUCCAAAUGUAUAUGAGAAACAUUCAUCUGCUUAGGGAUUUUUAUUUUUUCAAAUUUUCUACUUAUUGGUGCCAUGGAGACCUUCAAAGGUUCCUAUCUGAGUUGUGAUCCCUAAUUACACCUCAAAUGCAUUGAAGUUUAUGUAAACCACGACUCUAGUGUUUCAAUUGCUACUCAAUACCUUCUGUUGUUUGUGUCCAGGGAUUCCAUUUUCCUGGGAUCUGAGGUCACGGCUCUUUCUUUGAGCUUUUUCAAAUUUAUUCCUUCAUUUGGACUAACUGUUUUGCAACAUUGUAGAGUUGAACUCGUAGUGAAGCUACUACUAUAAUGGAUUCUUGUUGUGAAACCUUGAAUCCCAAUGCCCAUCCCAUACAAGUUAGGAAAGAGCUUAUUACAUAUGGAAAAAAUGCUCUUCGGGGAGAGAGGCUCGGGGAAUUUUGAGGAAUGGGGUAAUGCGUACCAAGUUGGCGAAGAGUUUGAGAGCUGAUAAUGGAGGUAGAAAAAUCAAAACUGAUGUUGCUUUCUCUGUUCUUAAGGAUGUCAAUAACGACAUUGUGGUAAGUAAUGCAGUACAUAGCUCAUUUCCUUCUCCAAUAAACUAAUUAAAUACGUGUUUAUUUUCUUCAUAUUUAUCACUAUUACCCAAAAAAUAGGUCACUUUCAAAUUCUAGAAUAGCUAAAUUCUUCAUUUUAUGUCCAAGUUGAAAAUAAAAUUGGUAUUGAUUUUCAUGGAUCAUUUUUAGGGUUGCAAUUUUUUGUGAUACUAUAUGUUCAAAUUGCCAAAAAAAAGUGAUCAAGUUAAAGGUUCCUUUCUACUCAAAUUAUUUUCUCUGAAUAUGCUCUCAUCCUUUCAUUUAUGUUUCGACUUUAGAGCGAGACCACCCAAGCACCACUAUUUGGGAAUGCAGAAGGCAGACCCAAAGAAUGUUGCUUAUAGGCUGACCAUGUGAGCCCCACCUCGGAAAGACAGAAGCAGCUGCACUUUAACCCUCCUAAACGGGCACAUAAGAACAAUCCUGGGUCAAGGUCAGUCUGGAUAUAAAAUGUAAGGCCAUGCCUAAAAAAACUUGCAGGCCAGAUGGGAUGAGUUUCUCCACCAAGUUUGGGAUGACAACCAUUAGUUUUUAAAAUUUGUUGUCAUUUUAAACACAAUAGAUGGAUGCAGAUUAAAUUUAAAUUCAUGAUAUCAGAUUUCAUAUCAGAUUCGGAUCUAAAGGUUUGGUAAUUGGACCUUAGAUGGGGAUGUAGCUGGGUCAAAUCUGUUUACAUCCUUCCGUUGGAUAUGAGCACUUUCUUCCUACUGCUUCUUUUCUUCUUGCUUUCAGUGACCCAAUAACGUGAUAGGUUUGGCUCCAACUUCGAGUGCUUAGUCUGAUUUGUCUCUUUCAUCAUAUGGGUUGGUUUGUGGUCUGCUUGAGGCCUAAUGGGCCCUCUCUACCUCAGCAACAGGUAUUACAUAUUAUCAAUUUAAGGGGGAUUAAGGGUAAUUGGGAUUUCAUGAAAGUAAAAACUCUACAUACACUCUUAAAAGCAUAUGCAUCCAAUUGCACAUUGGGAACAUCUCUUUGUGAAUUUUAUAUACUUGCAAAUUUGGUUUACCAUUUUCAGAAGUAUGUUGAUACAAAUGCUGAUAUUACAGUUCCAUGUAUACUAAUGGAUGAUAGAAACAUUUGUAUGGAAACAUGAUGUUACUUUGAAGAGUAAUUGCAAAGUUUGUUGGUGAAACGCUGAAGAGUAAGUGAUGUUUGAUGUCCUUUAAGUAACUCCUGUCCUUGUAAGACAUGUAUCUUUUUUUGGUAAUAGUAAGACAUGUAUCCAUUCUAUACCACUUAGACUUUUUGAUA